UGCACCUGUUUAGAAGAAGAAAGAGGCGGCCACCACCGCCAACUCGAAUUCCUUUCUCCAAACUUGACGCCUAUAUGAUGAAAAUACAUAGGACGCUCCAGAACAAGCCUGAAUCCUAUGCGGUUCGAGUCCUACGGCUUCAGGCGAAAUUUGGUACACGCCGUUGUACCUGCAUAAAAUGCGCAUUUGAGUGCAAGGGCCAGCAGUCCUGGGCCCGCCAUGUCCGCAAACAGCACAACUCCCGGCAUCCGAUACCAGCAGAAUUUAGAGAAGUAAGAAUAUCAUAUACUCAGAAUACGUGCUGUCUCUUCUUCAAUGUCUUUGUUUAGUUUA